GAUGAACGCUGGCGGCGUGCCUAAUACGUGCAAGUCGAGCGAACGGACGAGAAGCUUGCUUCUCUGAUGUUAGCGGCGGACGGGUGAGUAACACGUGGAUAACCUACCUAUAAGACUGGGAUAACUUCGGGAAACCGGAGCUAAUACCGGAUAAUAUUUUGAACCGCAUGGUUCAAAAGUGAAAGACGGUCUUGCUGUCACUUAUAGAUGGAUCCGCGCUGCAUUAGCUAGUUGGUAAGGUAACGGCUUACCAAGGCAACGAUGCAUAGCCGACCUGAGAGGGUGAUCGGCCACACUGGAACUGAGACACGGUCCAGACUCCUACGGGAGGCAGCAGUAGGGAAUCUUCCGCAAUGGGCGAAAGCCUGACGGAGCAACGCCGAGUGAGUGAUGAAGGUCUUCGGAUCGUAAAACUCUGUUAUUAGGGAAGAACAUAUGUGUAAGUAACUGUGCACAUCUUGACGGUACCUAAUCAGAAAGCCACGGCUAACUACGUG
rnacentral:rRNA from 1 species